rnacentral:rRNA from 1 species
UACGUAGGUGGCAAGCGUUGUCCGGAUUUACUGGGCGUAAAGAGCGCGCAGGCGGUCGUGCAAGUCGCGUGUGAAAGCCCCCGGCUCAACUGGGGAGGGUCACGCGAUACUGCUCGACUUGAAGGCAGGAGAGGGAAGUGGAAUUCCCGGUGUAGUGGUGAAAUGCGUAGAUAUCCGGAGGAACACCAGUGGCGAAAGCGGCCACCUGGACUGCACCUGACGCUGACACGCGAAAGCUAGGGGAGCGAACGGG